CUGCGGCGCGCGCGGGCGCGGAGGUGCUGCGGCGCCGCCGCCACCGCCGCCCCGUGCGCCCGCGGCCGGAGCCCGCGUCGCAGGGACCGGGGCGCUCGGGGCGUGCGGGGCGGGGGCCGGGGGGCUGGCCGGGGAGAGGCACGACCCGGGGGCCGUAGGCGGGGAGGUCUUCCCCGCAGAGUGGCCGCCAGACGACGGAAAGUUUUUUGCAUGCAGCCCUUCCAGCGUGUCCUUCCCUCGCCGGCUCCCUGUCGUCCACGGUGAGGCGCCCCCCCCCCCCGCCCCGCGGAGACCCCCUGCGGAGACCCCCUGCGGAGACCCCCCGCGGCCCAGUGCGGAGGAGCCCGGCAGGGCUUUCCCCCUACGAGCAUCCCAAGCCGGGGAGGGACCCUGGUGAUGACCUCUCCUCCCAGCCACCACUCCCUUCUCCCUUUCUUUCCUGUCACGGUGGACCUUGGGACCGUGGAGGAUUCCGCGGAUGCCUUUGGGAGCUGAGACCCAUGGGUAGAUGGAAGUGGUUCUAAAAAGCAGUGGAGCCUUGAGACAAGACCACAGCCCUGGCCCACGUGUGUGAGAAACCUUGGGAUAGAGGCACCCAGUUGUCAUGGGGACAUCUCAAGACGGAGACCGGCCCAUGUGAGGAAGAUCAUUGGAAACCUGACCUCAUGCCCAUUUCAUGGUUACCAUAAAGCUUGGGCCAAGGGCUACAGCCAGCUUGGACUCAUGGGGAAAGCCUCCCCCAAGAGAAUGAACCCCUAACCCCCAGCAAUCUUUGUCAUCGUGGGCUUCUUUCCUCACACAGAAACCCAGUAAGAGUGUGGCGGGGCUGUGAGAGCCGUCAUCCAUCACUACGCGUUAAACCCAAGGCAAUUCCAGAAAUUGAGAUUGCUGAACUGAGUACCACGUCACGUGCAUACAGCCAGAGUCCAGCCUGCUGCUGGUCAGAGGUCAGGGGCCAAAGGUGGACCCUGACCUCAAGCUGGUGCCAAAGACAUGAGGACACGUGAGAACUUGACCUGCUGAGAAUCCAUCGGGGAAGAAGAGCCACACCCAAACAGUGCUGAUUCAGACCAGAGGUGCUGAUCUUUUCGCACGGACUCUCCGGCCACCCCUCCUGCGAUCGGCGUGUGUCAUCUGAGGACAACAGAGCUGUGAUAACACAAGGGAGUCGUGUCAACCUCGUCUCAUGCACCAGCUGAACUCGGUGACACCAGCAACUUGGAUCCCGACAGACAGGGUGUUACAACCGCACCUCCAGGGAGGCUGCCCAGGGCUGGACCGCGCUUCUCUCAAGGUGCUUUGUGUGCACUGUGGGGCAGCUUGACCUGAGCGAAGGCAGCAAACGCGCCUCGAGUCGGAACCCCAGCCGGAGUCAGUAACACAGUGGUUCUCAAACUUCAGCCUGUGCCUGAGUCACCUGCGAGACGUGUUAAAACAUAGAGUCUUAUAACCGCCUUUCCCCGGAGACUCCGAUUCAGUUGGUCUGGGGCAGGGAUGGUGAUUUUGCAUGUCUAGCGAGUUCCUAAGUGCUCCUGGUUGGGAGAUCACACUUUGAAAACCACAAGCCUACUCCAGCAACUUGACUUAGACAGCUCUUCCUCUCCAGGUCUUCUGUGCCCUAAGGGACUUCAGAGCUGGAGAGAAAAGGGAAUGGAAGCCAAAAGAUGGAAACAACCCAAAUAUCCAUCAACAGGUGAAUGGACAGGCAGAAGGUGGUAUGUCUAUACAGUGGAAUACUAUUCCACCAGGAAAAGGAACUCGAUACUGACACACAUUACAACAUGGAUGAACCGGGAAGGCAUUAUGUGGAAAGGAAGCAGCCAGCUGGGGCCUGCUGGGGCCACAUGGUGCACGAUUCCACGGAUAGGAGAUGCCCAGAAGAAGCAAAUUCGUAGAGACUGAAAGCAGAUUGGGGGUUGCCAGGAGGUAGGACGGAAUGGAGAGCCACUGCCUAUUGGGUUUCCAUUUGGGAUGAUGCAAACGUUCUGGAACUAGAGAGAGGUGAUGGGUGGACAACACUGUGAAUGUACCUAAUGCAAUUGAACUGAACUCUUUAAAAUGAUUCACAUGGUCAGUUUUAUGUCAUGUGUGUUUUACUGCAAUAAAAAGUAAAAAGA